rnacentral:rRNA from 1 species
UACGGAGGAUGCAAGCGUUAUCCGGAUUCAUUGGGUUUAAAGGGUGCGUAGGCGGCUUUUUAAGUCAGCGGUGAAAUUUUGCAGCUUAACUGUAACAGUGCCGUUGAUACUGGGGAGCUAGGAUUUGGUUGCUGUGGGUGGAAUGUGUGGUGUAGCGGUGAAAUGCUUAGAGAUCACACAGAAUAUCGAUUGCGAAGGCAGCUCACAAAGCCAAGAUUGACGCUGAGGCACGAAAGCGUGGGGAUCAAACAGGA